rnacentral:rRNA from 1 species
GAGACUCUGUGCGCGUGCAUAUCAAUAAGCGGAGGAAAAGAAACUAACAAGGAUUCCCCUAGUAACGGCGAGUGAAGCGGGAAGAGCUCAAAUUUGAAAUCUUAAAGGGUUUCCCUUUACGAAUUGUAGUUUAAAGAAGUGUUUUCUGUUGGAGUUUCGGUAAAAGUUCUUUGGAAUAGGACAUCAUAGAGGGUGAGAAUCCCGUAUUUGACCGUUACUUUCCAGCUGUGUGAUACACUUUCAAAGAGUCGGAUUGUUUGGGAAUGCAGUCCAAGAUGGGUGGUAAAUUUCAUCUAAAGCUAAAUAUUGGCGAGAGACCGAUAGCGAACAAGUACCGUGAGGGAAAGAUGAAAAGAACUUUGAAAAGAGAGUUAAACAGUACGUGAAAUUGUCAAAAGGGAGGCGUUUGACACCAGUGUUGUUUAGUUGAAAAUCAAUUCAAUAGUUUUUGAUUCUAAGUAGUAUUGACUUCAUCAGCUUGCUGCUUUCUUCUCAGAAAUUAUUGAAUGCACUUUUCAGUUAACAAGUCAACAUCAAUUUCUUUUGUUGUAGAAGGGUAAGAGGAAGGUGGCUUACGCUUCGGCGUAAGUGUUUAUAGCCUUUUAUCCUCUGCAAUCGGAGAGAUUGAGGUCUGCAGCGUAGAUCCUUCGGGGUUAGAUACAUUUGGUGCUAAGUUAUAGCUUGUCAUAGACAACUUGUUGACUAUGUUUAGUCUAGUAGCUUACUCGCUGACGCUAUUUUACCUACGCUUAGGAUGUUGACAGCAGUAUAGACUGU